rnacentral:tRNA from 2 species
GCCGAUGUAGCUCAGUGGGCUUAGAGCGGUUCAUUUGUAAUGAACGGGUCGGGGGUUCGAGUCCCUCCAUCGGCUCCA